GCUUGCUUCAGCAACACAUAUACUAAAAUUGGAAUGAUACAGAGAAGAUUAGCAUCCCUGUGCAAGGAUGAUACUCAAAUUCCUGAAGCAUUCCAUAUUUUA